rnacentral:lncRNA from 1 species
UUCAAAGGAAGCAGUGAUAGGCUGACUGCUCUCCCCUCACCUUAACCCCCGCUUCUUGCUAUUUUUAAACGGGAGGACAACGUCGCGCAGCUUUGUCAAACAGUUAUCGAUAAUGAGGCUGGAUAAUGGUGUGACAAUCCAGCCCUUUUCUGCUCAUGGUAUCAAUCUAAAAAUACCACCUGACCCUAACGGAGAAAGUCAGGGGCCAUUGAGACGGCUGUGAGAGUGGGAAACGGCCCCUUCCUCUGUCUAAAUCCGCAGUGACCGCCGGUGCGCUGCGGGGCAUCGCGGGAUACACUCCCCUGUGUGGCAGCCUGAUGCCCUGGAAAAAAAUCCAACUUCAGAGUUGGGAAGUCAAAGAUUCAAAUCUCACCUCUGACACAUACCGAUGCAUGACCUUGGACUAGUCAAAAGACAAAGACCCAGGUUAUUUGGGUGUGUGUUACAUCUCAUUCGGAGCAGAGGGGUACUGGAUUUCUCAAAGAAGUGGAGCACACGAGUUGGCGA